rnacentral:rRNA from 1 species
ACUCCUACGGGAGGCAGCAGUGGGAAUUUGCACAAUGGGGAACCCUGAUGCAGCGACGCCGCGUGAUUUAGAAGGCCUUCGGGUUGUAAAAUCUUUGUAUAGGAAGAAAUGACAGUACUAUACGAAUAAGGUCCGGCUAAUUACGUGCCAGCAGCCGCGGUAAUACGUAAGGACCGAGCGUUGUCCGGAAUCAUUGGGCGUAAAGGGUACGUAGGCGGGUCAUUAAGUUAGAAGUCAAAGGCUAUAGCUCAACUAUAGUAAGCUUCUAAAACUGGAACCUUGAGUAAUGGAAGGGAAGUGGAUUCCUAGUGUAGCGGUGGAAUGCGCANAUAUUAGGAGGAAUACCGGUGGCGAAGGCGACUUUCUGGCCAUUAACUGACGCUGAGGUACGAAAGCGUGGGUAGCAAACAGGAUUAGAUACCCUGGUAGCUACGAGG